CCAGCAGCUGCGGUAAUUCCAGCUCCAAUAGCGUAUAUUAAAGUUGUUGCAGUUAAAAAGCUCGUAGUUGGAUUUCUGGCAGGAGCGUCCGGUCUCACACUCAGUGCGGGAACUUGGAUGUCUCUGGCCAUCUUUGGGGAUAUCCUGUUUGGCAUUAAGUUGUCGGGCAGGGGAUACCCAUCGUUUACUGUGAAAAAAUUGGAGUGUUUAAAGCAGGCUUAUGCCGUUGAAUAUAUUAGCAUGGAAUAAUAAGAUAGGACUUUGGUGCUAUUUCGUUGGUUAAUGGGACCGAAGUAAUGAUUAAAAGGGACAGUUGGGGCCGUUUAUAUUUCGUUGUCAGAGGUGAAAUUCUUGGAUUUACGAAAGAUAAACUUCUGCGAAAGCAUUCGGCAAGGAUGUUUUCAUUGAUCAAGAACGAAAGU
rnacentral:rRNA from 1 species